rnacentral:rRNA from 1 species
UCUACGGGGGGCAGCAGUGAGGAAUAUUGGUCAAUGGCCGGAAGGCUGAACCAGCCAAGCCGCGUGAAGGACGAAGGUGCCAAGCAUUGUAAACUUCUUUUGUCAAGGGACAAAAUCAGGCUCGAGAGCCUGACCGAGGGUACUUGAAGAAAAAGCAUAGGCUAACUCCGUGCAAGCAGCCGCGGUAAUAAGGAGGAUGCGAGCGUUAUCCGGAUUUAUUGGGUUUAAAGGGGUCGUAGGCGGGCUGGUAAGUCAGUGGUAAAAGCCCGGGGCUCAACCCCGGCGAGCCGUUGAAACUGGCUGUCUUGAGAUGUCGGGAGGUAUGCGGAAUGCGCAGUGUAGCGGUGAAAUGCUUAGAUAUUGCGCAGAACACCAGUGGCGAAGGCGGUCUGCUGGACAGCAACUGACGGUGAGGCGCGAAAGCGUGGGGAGCAAACAGGAUUAGAUACCCGAGUAGUC